rnacentral:rRNA from 1 species
CCUACGGGAGGCAGCAGUGGGGAAUAUUGCACAAUGGGGGAAACCCUGAUGCAGCGACGCCGCGUGAGUGAAGAAGUAUUUCGGUACGUAAAGCUCUAUCAGCAGGGAAGAAAAUGACGGUACCUGACUAAGAAGCCCCGGCUAACUACGUGCCAGCAGCCGCGGUAAUACGUAGGGGGCAAGCGUUAUCCGGAUUUACUGGGUGUAAAGGGAGCGUAGACGGCGGUGCAAGUCCGGAGUGAAAGCCCAUGGCUUAACCAUGGUACUGCUAGGGAAACUGUGCAGCUUGAGUGCGGGAGGGGAAGGCGGAAGUCCUAGUGUAGCGGUGAAAUGCGUAGAUAUUAGGAGGAACACCGGCGGCGAAGGCGGCCUUCUGGACCGUAACUGACGUUGAGGCUCGAAAGCGUGGGGAGCAAACAGGAUUAGAUACCCGGGUAGUC